rnacentral:lncRNA from 1 species
GGGUAAUUUGUUUAAAAAAUGUGUGGCGUGACCUGGCCAAUCAACCAAAAUGGCUGCCACGGCUAAUAAUAGAACAUAGGGGUAAAAUGCAGUUUUUGGCUUAUAACUCAAAAACCGAAGCAUUAAGAGAAAAUCUGACAGGGUUUAAUUGUUUAUCAGGUCAAGAUCUAUCUGCCCUGAUGUUUUCACAUGGAUCGGACAACCCGUUGUUAGGUUACUGUCCUGAAUUGGUAAUUUUAAGGAAAUUUGGCCGUUUUUUGUUAAUAUCUUGAAUAUUAUUAUAGAUAGAGAUAAACUGUAUACAGCAAUAACGUUCAGCAAAAUAAGAUCUACAAAUAAGUUUACAUGACCAAAAUAGUCA